UACGUAGGGGGCAAGCGUUGUCCGGAAUUAUUGGGCGUAAAGCGCGUGUAGGCGGCUCGGUAAGUCUGCUGUGAAAGUCCAAGGCUCAACCUUGGAAAGCCGGUGGAUACUGUCGAGCUCGAGUCCGGAAGAGGCGAGUGGAAUUCCUGGUGUAGCGGUGAAAUGCGCAGAUAUCAGGAGGAACACCAAUGGCGAAGGCAGCACUCUGGGACGGUACUGACGCUGAGACGCGAAAGCGUGGGGAGCGAACAGG
rnacentral:rRNA from 1 species